CAAAUUUUACUAGCAGAACUCUUCAAAAUAAAACAGAUCCAAAUGAUACAUCCAAAGAUAUUCAUACAACGUCUUGUGCUGUUCAGCACAGUCUCAGCACCUUAGAAAAUAUGAAAUGAUCCAAACAGACCUAGAAGCAGAGGUCUGUCUCUCCCACAUCCUUCAUUCCAGCCUCCAUCGGCCUUAGGCGGCUUACUCUCCCUUCAGGAGAGCUUUAUUUACAUAUUCACUCCAUGGAGUUUGGACUCAAAGGCAACUUCCUUCAAAAUGGAGAUUUGCUUGUCGAGCUGAACAGGUUACUGUGAAAAUCUUGUUUGUUGGGAUUGCAGUGGGAUGUUGGCUAUGGAUGAUUAAAGCAUCAUUUUCUUUUCUCUUGUCCUUCAAGAAAGGCUCAUUGGGGCAAAAGCAAUCCUCUAUUCUCCGUACGCUCUAUAUGCUGCCAUGAUGGUUCUUGUGGGCUGCAUCGUUGUCUCAACUUUUAUGAUCGUCUUGUAUAACCGUGAAAUGAGAAAAAGAACCAUCUUUCUCAAAGGAGUGAAUGAGAUUUCAGAUUACAUGGGCAGGAAGUAUCCAGAUCUCCAGAGUUUGGAAGAUGUUGACAGAAUUAAUGUAGCUACGAAUUUAUCAUUGAGGCUGACUGAAGAGAACAAAAAAAAUAAGGAACUGCAAGUUGCAAUUGGUAAGUUACUCUGAGACUGUGAUGCUGAAUAAUGCAGGGAGAGCCCAUUACAAAACAAAAACAGAAACCUGUUAUUGACUUUAGAGGGGCG